ensembl:lncRNA
GGGGACCCCUAGCCAGGCAGUCAGCCCAUUUUGCAUGCCCCAAAAAUGAGACACAAAAAUAACUGACUUUCUAUUGCAGGAACGGCUGAUAUUGCAGAUUUCAAAGCAAGCUUCAAGCAAGCAGCUUUAAAGACCAACGUGGGACCACAUGCUUGUGGUGGGGAGCAAUGACUGGGUAAUUUCAUGAGGAAUGAAGACCAUACUCAGGGAAAAGAAUCUGAAAGAUGAAAGCAUUUUCUACAGGAAAGGCAGAGUCAGAAAAGAAAAGCAUGCUUUCCAAAGAUGGCUACCUUUAAUGUCCCACUCUUCUCAGAGUCUGGCUACACCAGUGAGGCGUAUAUGAAGAUAGCCACGUUCAUAUGUCAUUCUUAGGUAUGGCUAAUAAUAAUAACAUUGUAAUUGUUAUUCGUGAAUCAGAAAUGAAAAUAAUUUGAAAAUAUGUUGUUUCAAAUGAAAUGUUUUUUUUAUGAAAAUACUUAGCUUGCUUUUUAUCCUUUGCAAAUAUUCUGCAAAAUGCAAUGUAAAUUUAGGAACAGUGUUUUUUUUGUUUGUUUUGGUUUUGGUUUUGGUUUGUUUGUUUUUUAAUUAAACCCUUAAAUUAAAACAGAAUCUUCCUUGUCUCCUGAGAGUUUUUAAAAGUAUAUGUUUGUUU